AUAGAAGUAGAUGUUGAGCAUUUUUGGGAUAUUAAUAUCUGGAUUGUGGAGAAAGAUGUAAUUCCUUUCUGUAACAUGGAACCUAUUAUAGGAAAUUGCAUCCUCACAUAUGUUUGGUAAGGUCAUCCUAUAAGUCAAUCAAUUAGUUAAUGAUGUGUUUUCUUUGUUGUUAAUAUUUAAUCAUCUUUAUUUUUAGGCAUUUGUAUAGAAACAUGAAGAAAGAACAAGCUGCCAGAUUUUUAUUUGUGAACACGUUCACUAUUUCACACUGUAAAAGUUUAUCAAUCGAAGAUAGGGCACGCGCAUUAUCAGAACGAUUGCUAGUUACAACUGCAAAUCAAAUUGUUUUGGCGCCUUGCAAUGUGGAGUAAGUGAAUACUUAGCAUUGUAACCUCAGUAAUCAUUAUGUUCUAUAUUCAUUGCUAUACUAAUUUUCUUACUUGUAUGAAAUAGUUCACAUUGGAUACUCACAGUCAUUGAACCACACAAAGGCCACGUUUAUCUGUUGGACUCUCUUUAUCACAGAAAUCGUGAUAUCCCUUAGAAAGUUGAUGUUGACAAGUAAGUUUUACAAAAUUUAUGUAAUAAAUUUUUUGUGUAUCUUUAUUAUUUGCUGUUGAUAAGUAAGUUUUACAUGUUGUUGUCCGUAUAUUAAUUUGCUCGUAUUCAUUCUUUUGAAGUGCCAUGAGUAUUUUCAAUGCACACAAUGGAAAGAAAAUCAAGAAUUCAGCAAAAUGGGACAUCAUAAAGGUGUGUGCUAUUGUUUAUAAAGAAUAUUAAUUCACAGUUGGUAACCUCGUAUUUUUAUGAUUCUAAACAUAGGGUCCUAAGCAACCUGGCAGUACGGAAUGUGGAUUUUUUGUAAUGCGAUAAUAUGAAAGACAUAGUCGAAGGGUUUGAAAGGGACGACAUUAUUUCUCUGCCGACUGCCAUCAUUGGUAUGCUUAUAAAUAUAUACUCAUAUUUUAAUGUAACAUUCUUAAUAAACUACAUUUGAUCACUAUUUUUUAUUUACAGUUUACGAAUGUAGCCUAUUCUCAAGUUGAAAUUGAUGAAGUUCGCGAGGAAUGGGCUAAGUGUGUUUUAUUACAUGUAUUGGACUGAUCAGGUAUAUAUUUUGUUUGACUUGUGAAUUAUAAUCAGGCUAUUAAUCCUCUUAUAUCAUCCCUAAGUGUGUUCUUACACAUAGUAGUCUGUUUACUGAAUUAUUCUCUUUCAUGGUCAGGUGUACGACAAUAGAAGUCAGGGGUACGUAGGAAGAUGUGUCAUUUUGUUUGUUUUUUUGUAUGGAUUUCAAUCUGGAAAUGAUGAAGAAUUUGGUGAAAAUUGUGUUGAACACCAUUUUUUGUUAAUGUUUGGAUGUAAAUUAAAUGACUACUUUAGGUACUUUGAAGCUACAAUGUUUGGAAGUUUAAGUUAUUUUAUAUAAUAUAUUUUUUGGAUUGUAUUAUUUGAGAAU
rnacentral:lncRNA from 1 species